GUGGUUGUGGCUCAGUGGUAGAGCACUUGCCUCGCAUGUAUGAGGCCCUGGGUUUGAUCCCCAGCACUGCA
rnacentral:tRNA from 1 species